rnacentral:rRNA from 1 species
UAGUGGCAGACGGGUGAGUAAUGUAUAGGAAUCUACCUAGUAGUACGGAAUAAUUGUUGGAAACGGCAACUAAUACCGUAUACGCCCUAGGGGGGAAAAAUUUAUUGCUAUUAGAUGAGCCUAUAUUAGAUUAGUUAGUUGGUGAGGUAAAGGCUUACCAAGACAAUGAUCUAUAGCUGAUCUGAGAGGAUGAUCAGCCACACUGGAACUGAGAUACGGUCCAGACUCCUACGGGAGGCAGCAGUGGGGAAUAUUGGACAAUGGGCGAAAGCCUGAUCCAGCCAUGCCGCAUGAGUGAAGAAGGCCUUUGGGUUGUAAAGCUCUUUUAGUGAGGAAGAUAAUGACGGUACUCACAGAAGAAGUCCUGGCUAACUCCGUGCCAGCAGCCGCGGUAAUACGGAGAGGGCUAGCGUUAUUCGGAAUCAUUGGGCGUAAAGGGCGCGUAGGCGGGUUAGUAAGUUAAAAGUGAAAUCCCAAGGCUCAACCUUGGAACUGCUUUUAAAACUGCUAGUCUAGAGAUUGAAAGAGGAUAGAGGAAUUCCUAGUGUAGAGGUGAAAUUCGUAAAUAUUAGGAGGAACACCAGUGGCGAAAGCGUCUAUCUGGUUCAAAUCUGACGCUGAGGCGCGAAGGCGUGGGGAGCAAACAGGAUUAGAUACCCUGGUAGUCCACGCUGUAAACGAUGAAUGUUAAAUAUGGGAAGUUUACUUUCUGUAUUAUAGCUAACGCGUUAAACAUUCCGCCUGGGGACUACGGUCGCAAGAUUAAAACUCAAAGGAAUUGACGGGGACCCGCACAAGCGGUGGAGCAUGUGGUUUAAUUCGAUGCAACGCGAAAAACCUUACCACUCCUUG